rnacentral:rRNA from 1 species
GGUGAGUAACACGUAGGUGAUCUACCACGAGGUUGGGGAUAGCCCAUGGAAACAUGGGGUAAUACCGAAUGCGCUCUUUUGGCUCUGGCCGGAAGAGGAAAGGGGCUUUGGCCCCGCCUAGUGAUGAGCCUGCGGCUGAUUAGCUUGUUGGUGGGGUAACGGCCUACCAAGGCGACGAUCAGUAGCCGGCCUGAGAGGGUGAUCGGCCACACUGGGACUGAGAUACGGCCCAGACUCCUACGGGAGGCAGCAGCUAAGAAUCUUCCGCAAUGGACGAAAGUCUGACGGAGCGACGCCGCGUGGGUGAUGAAGGCCGUGAGGUUGUAAAGCCCUUUUCUACCUGAGGAAUAAGCCCUUGAGGGAAUGCGAGGGUGAUGACGGUAGGGUAGGAAUAAGCCCCGGCUAAUUACGUGCCAGCAGCCGCGGUAACACGUAUGGGGCGAGCGUUGUUCGGAAUUAUUGGGCGUAAAGGGCGUGUAGGCGGACAUGCAAGUCUGGUGUGAAAGACCGCAGCUCAACUGCGGGCACGCGCUGGAAACUGUAUGUCUUGAAUCCUUGAGGGGGAACUGGAAUUCCUGGUGUAGGGGUGAAAUCUGUAGAUAUCAGGAAGAACAUCAGCGGCGAAGGCGAGUUCCUGGCAAGUGAUUGACGCUGAGGCGCGAAAGCGUGGGUAGCAAACAGGAUUAGAUACCCUGGUAGUCCACGCUGUAAACGAUGUGCACUAGGCGUUGGGGUGUUGAAACCUCAGUGCCGGAGCUAACGUGGUAAGUGCACCGCCUGGGGAGUAUGCCGGCAACGGUGAAACUCAAAGGAAUUGACGGGGGCCCGCACAAGCGGUGGAGCAUGUGGUUUAAUUCGAUGAUACGCGAGGAACCUUACCAGGGCUUGACAUAUACCGGGAGUCGUGUGAGAGCGCGGCGCCCUUCGGGGCCGGUAUACAGGUGCUGCAUGGCUGUCGUCAGCUCGUGCCGUGAGGUGUUGGGUUAAGUCCCGCAAGGAGCGCAACCCCUAUAGUCUGUUGGUAUCAGGUAAUGGUGAGGAGUCAGAUGAGACUGCCGGUGUCAAACCGGAGGAAGGUGGG